rnacentral:rRNA from 1 species
CCUACGGGUGGCAGCAGUGGGGAAUUUUCCGCAAUGGGCGAAAGCCUGACGGAGCAAUACCGCGUGAGGGAAGAAUGCCUAUGGGUUGUAAACCUCUUUUUUCAGGGAGGAACAAAAUGACGUGUACCUGAAGAAUAAGCAUCGGCUAACUCCGUGCCAGCAGCCGCGGUAAGACGGAGGAUGCAAGUGUUAUCCGGAAUCACUGGGCGUAAAGCGUCUGUAGGUGGUUUAAUAAGUCAACUGUUAAAUCUUGACGGCUCAACUUCAAAAUCGCAGUCGAAACUAUUAGACUAGAGUAUAGUAGAGGUAAAGGGAAUUUCCAGUGGAGCGGUGAAAUGCGUAGAUAUUGGAAAGAACACCGAUGGCGAAAGCACUUUACUGGGCUAUUACUAACACUCAGAGACGAAAGCUAGGGUAGCAAAUGGGAUUAGAUACCCGUGUAGUC